rfam:Fukomys damarensis contig119737, whole genome shotgun sequence.
AAAAAGGCUUUUUGAAAAAGCCACAAAAUUCAAAGAGAUAUAUGAAAG